rnacentral:lncRNA from 1 species
UUUAAGAAAUCUUAGAAUUCAGUAUUAUAUACAAAUUCGAGGUGAAUAUUUUAGUAUUCAUGUCGAUUUAUAUUGCAUAUUUUUUUUAUUUUUUGUUUUAUUUUUAAUGGAUAAUAAACUUUUCUUAGUGGAUAAUUAGUGACCCAACUAGUUACAGAUCCGAUGGAUCCACAACCAAAUAAAACCUGGAUUUGAUGAAAUAUAAUAUGCUCUCGAUGAAUUCGUGACCCAAUGAACAUGUGACCCGG